UACGUAGGCAGCAAGCGUUGUUCGGAAUUACUGGGCGUAAAGAGUGUGUAGGUGGUGCUCCAAGUCUGUUGUGAAAUCUCCCGGCUUAACUGGGAGGGUGCGGCGGAAACUGGUGUGCUUGAGGGUGGGAGAGGUAAGCGGAAUUCCUGGUGUAGCGGUGAAAUGCGUAGAUAUCAGGAAGAACACCCGUGGCGAAGGCGGCUCUCUGGGACGGUACUGACGCUGAGACGCGAAAGCGUGGGGAGCGAACAGG
rnacentral:rRNA from 1 species